rnacentral:rRNA from 1 species
CGCGCAGGCGGUCGUGCAAGUCGCGUGUGAAAGCCCCCGGCUCAACUGGGGAGGGUCACGCGAUACUGCUCGACUCGAAGGCAGGAGAGGGAAGUGGAAUUCCCGGUGUAGUGGUGAAAUGCGUAGAUAUCGGGAGGAACACCAGUGGCGAAGGCGACUUCCUGGCCUGUUCUUGACGCUGAGGCGCGAAAGCUAGGGAGCAAACG